rnacentral:lncRNA from 1 species
AGUAUUCAACCCCUUUUUUAUUUGCAAGACUAAAUAAGUUCAGGAAUAAAAAUGUGCUUAACAAGUCACAUAAUAAGUUGCAUGGACUCAUUCGGUGUGGAAUAACAGUGUUUAACAUUAUUUUUGAAUGACUACCUCAUCUCUGUACCCCACACAUACAAUUAUCUGUAAGGUCCCUCAGUUGAGCAGUGAAUUUCAAACACAGAUUCAACCACAAAGACCAGGGAGGUUUUCCAAGGCCUGUUUACAACAAGGCACUAAAGUUAUCCUGCAAAACAUGUGGCAAAGCAAUUCACUUUUUGUCAUGAAUACAAAGUGUUAUGUUUGGGGCAAAUCCAAUACAACACAUUACUGAGUACCACUCUUCAUAUUUUCAAGCAUAGUGGUGGCUGCAUCAUGUUAUGGUUAUGCUUGGGGAGUUUUUCAGGAUAAAAAAGAAACGGAAUAAAGCUAAGCACAAGCAAAAUACUAGAGGAAAACCUUGUUCAGUCUGCUUUCCACCAGACCCUGGAAGAUGAAUUCACCUUUCAGCAGGACAAUAACCUAAAACUCAAGUCCAAAUCUACACUGGAGUUGCUUACUAAGAAGACAGCGAAUGUUCCUGAGUGGCUGAGUAACAUUUUUGACUUAAAUCUGCUGAAAAUCUAUGGCAAGACUUGAAAAUGGUUGUCUAGCAAUAAUCAACAACCAAUUUGACAGAGCUUGAAGAAUUCAGAAAAUACUAAUGGGCAAAUGUUACACAAUCCAGGUGUGGACAGCUCUUAGGUCGUGUCUACACUUGACACCUACAUACGACUUCUGCUAUCAGAAUACGAAGAUGGCAUUGAAAAGACGGGUCUAGAUGCACAAAAGUGGCUUUGUGGAGUUCUUGUGUUCAGAUCUGUGGGAUGCAUUAUGUGUGGAUUUCUCCUCAGUCUGGACGCAAUCAGGCUACCGAAAGUGCAUACAGUGGGCAACAUCAUCAGCACUCCUCCCACAAGUCUCCAGAAAACUUGUGUUUUGGACCGAGAGGUACCAUUUCAUUAUGAUGUUGGAAGAAAUACAUUCCUAGCGUGUGAGGAACGUGUUUGCUGGUCUCAUAAAAUGCUAGCCAGCUACCUAAUAUUUAGAAAAAAUAUUUUUUGUUUAGCUAGAGUUAUGCUAACCUACAGAGGUUAGCUGGCUAGUUAGCUACAGUAGUUAGCUACUGCCAUCAGUUGUUGUGUUAUAAUAUUUUGCCUAUUCCACCAUUUGUAGAAUGCCUACUGGCAUUUGGAUAUAUAGUAUGGGAAUGGGGAAUCCGGACACAUUGUUGGACACAUUUAAAUGUAGAUACAUGACAGAAUUCCAUGAUCAGAACUCUAAAGCUGCAUGAACUGUCAAGUCUAGACCCGGCCUUAUAGACUUACCCAGAAAGACUAACAGCUGUAAUCGCUACCGAAGACACUUAUAGAAAGCAUUGACUCACGGGGGUGAAUACUUAUGUUAAUGAGAUAUUUCUGUGUUUCAUUUUCAAUAAAUACUUACAGUACCAGUCAAAUGUUUGGACACACCUACUCAUUCAAGGGAUAUUAACUUUAUUUUUUACUAUUUUCUACAUUGUAGAAUAAUAGUGAAGACAUCAAAACUAUGAAAUAACACAUAUGGAAUCAUGUAGUAACCAAAAAAGUGUUAAACCAAUCAAAAUAGAUUUUAGAUUCUUCAAAGUAGCCACCCUUUGCCUUGAUGACAGCUUUGCACACUCUUGGCAUUCUCUCAAUCAGCUUCAUCUGAAAUGCUUUUCCAACAGUCUUGAAGAAGUUCACACAUAUGCUGAGCACUUGAUGGCUGCUUUUCCUUCACUCUGCAGGUCCAACUCAUCCCAAACCAUCUCAAUUGGUUUGAGGUUGGGUGAUUGUGGAGGCCAAGUCAUCUGAUGCAGCACUCCAUCACUCUCCUUCUUGGUCAAAUAGCCCUUACACAGCCUGGAGGAGUGUUGAGUCAUUGUCUUGUUGGAAAACAAAUGAUAGUCCCACUAAGGGCAAACCAGAUGGGAUGGUGUAUCGCUGCAUAAUGCUGUGGUAGCCAUGCUGGUUAAGUGUGCCUUGAAUUCCAAAUAACUCACAGACAGUGUCACCAGCAAAGCACCCCCACACCAUCACACCUCCUCCUCCAUGCUUCACGGUGGGAACCACACAUGCGGAGAUCAUCCGUUCACCUACUCUGCGUCUCACAAAGACACGGCGGUUAGAACAAAAAAUCUCAAAUUUGGACUCAUCAGACCAAAGGACAGAUUUCCACUGGUCUAAUGUCCAAUGCUCAUGUUUCUUGGACAAGCAAGUCUCUUCUUCUUAUUUGUGUCCUUAAUUAAGUAGUGGUUUCUUAGCAGCAAUUCGACCAUGAAGGCCUGAUUCAUGCAGUCUCCUCUGAACAGUUGACGUUGAGAUGUGUCUGUAACUUGAACUCUGUGAAGCAUUUAUUUGGGCUGCAAUUUCUGAGGCUGGUAAGUCUAAUGAACUUAUCCUCUGCAGCAGAGGUAACUCUGGGUCUUCCAUUCCUGUGGCGGUCCUCAUGAGAGCCAGUUUCAUCAUAGCACGUGAUGGCUUUUGCGAUUGCACUUGAAAAAACGUUAAAAGUUCUUGAAAUUUUCCGGAUUGACUGACCUUCAUGUCUUAAAGUAAUGAUGGACUGUCAUUUCUCUUUGCUUAUUUGAGGUGUUCUUGCCAUAAUAUGGACUUGGUCUUUUACCAAAUAGGGCUUUCUUCUGUAUACCACCCCUACCUUGUCACAACACAACUGAUUGGCUCAAACACAUUAAGAACAAAAUAAAUUCCACAAAUUAACUUUUAACAAGGCACCCCUCUUAAUUGAAAUGCUAUCUAGGUGACUACCUCAUGAAGAUGUUUGAGAGAAUGCCAAGAGUGUGCAAAGUUGUCAUCAAGGCAAAGGUUGGCUGCUUUGAAGAAUCUCAAUUAUAAAAUAUAUUUUGAUUUGUUUAACUAUUUAUUGGUUACUACAUGAUUCCAUGUGUUAUUUCAUCAUUUUCAUGUCUUCAAUAUUAUUCUACAAUGUAGAAAAUAGUUAAAAAAAAUAAGAAAACCCCUUGAAUGAGUAGGUGUGUGAAAACCUUUGACUGAUACUGUAUAUUUCAUCCAUUUUGAACUCAGCCUGUAACAUAACAAAAUGUGGAAUACGUCAAGGGGUAUGGAUACUUUCUGAAGGCAGUGUAAGUGAACAAGGUAAGGUUAAACCGUGGGAAAGAGACUAGGGGAGAUAGUAGCCAGAUAGAGAGGGCAUCAGUGAACAGCUAAGAGCCUGUACUUAGUGUCUUUAAAGAAAACGCUUUGAAAAGCCACUCACACUGUUAGUCUUUGAGCAGACCUCCCCAAACCUAUAAACUUAUAGAGAGAAAGAGGGAGGGAAGGACCAAAAGGGAGGAGUGUGUGUAUGUGUGUGUAAUGGUUUGUGAGUCGCUCCAGGGGGGUCUGUGCUAUGUAAGUGAUGAUGUGUGUGUUGAUGUUUGUAUGAUGAUAGGUUAGUUGUUCAGGAGGGUGUGUGUGUGUUGAUGUUAGUAUGAUGAUAGGUUAGUUGUUCAGGAGGGUGUGUGUUGAUGUUAGUAUGAUGAUAGGUUAGUUGUUCAGGAGGGUGUGUGUGUGUUGAUGUUAGUAUGAUGAUAGGUUAGUUGUUCAGGAGGGUGUGUGUUGAUGUUAGUAUGAUGAUAGGUUAGUUGUUCAGGAGGGUGUGUGUUGAUGUUAGUAUGAUGAUAGGUUAGUUGUUCAGGAGGGUGUGUGUUGAUGUUAGUAUGAUGAUAGGUUAGUUGUUCAGGAGGGUGUGUGUGUGUUGAUGUUAGUAUGAUGAUAGGUUAGUUGUUCAGGAGGGUGUGUGUUGAUGUUAGUAUGAUGAUAGGUUAGUUGUUCAGGAGGGUGGGUGUGUCUUUACGUGGGUUUUGGGAGGGAGUGAGUUUGUGUAUUUGGUUUGUAUGGACACCGGAAUGUAUUUAAGUGUUCAGUUUGAGAGUGUAUAUAGGUAGGCAGGUUUGAACAAGAGGGUUGACCAUGACAGAAACUAGGGUUGCAUCCCAAAUGGCACCCAAUAGCCUGCACAGUGCACUACUUUUGACCAGAGCCCUAUGGGGAAUAGGGUGCCAUUUGGGACGCAGCCUAGGGAAUCAAGGCCCUGGGCUUUAGAGGAUAGACAUUGUGACAGAGACCUGUGGCGUCUCCAGGACCUGACUCAUAGACCAGGAACUCAGAGUCAGGGAGAGACGAGGGUGGUGGGGGUCAGGGCGAGACGAGGGUGGUGGGUUUGGGACGAAGGUGGGGGAAGGGGGGUUAAUGGAACUUUUAUGGGUUUGUCGUGCAAUCAUGUGACCCCUGGCAUCUUUCCCCUUUCUCUCUCCCUUUCUCCCCCUUCUCUCUCCCUCUCUCACCCCUUCUCUCGGUCUCUCUCUCAAUUUCAAUUCAAAGGGAUUUAUUGGCAUGGCAAAUGGUGUUUGUUCUUCACUGGUUGACCUUUCCUUGUGGCAACAGGUCAUGCUGCUGUUGUGCUGUUGUUGUGAUGGCACACUGGUAUUUCAUCCAAUAGAUAUGAGAGUUUAUUAAGAUUGAAUGUGUUUUCAAAUUCUUUGUGGGUCUGUGUUAUCUGAGGGAAAUAGGUCUUUAAUAUGGUCAUACAUUUGGUUAGGAAGUGCAGCUCGGUUUCCAUCUAAUUUUGUGGGCAGUGGGCACAGUCUGCCUAUGGCGGCCUCUCUCAAUAGCAAAGCUAUGCUCACUGAGGCUGUACAUAGUCAAAGUUUUCUUCAAUUUGGGUCAGGUAUUCUGCCACUGUCAGGUAUUCUGCCACUGUGUACUCUCUGUUUAGAGCCAAAUAACAUUCCAGUUUGCUCAGUUUUUUUGUUGAUUCUUUACAAUGUUUCCAGCAUUAUCUUUUAGUUUUCUCAUUAUUUGGUUGGGUCUAAUUGUGUUUCUGUCCUGGGGCUCUGUGGGGUCUUUUUUGUUUGUGAACAACAGAGACCCCGUAUCAGCUGGCGAGGGAUUUGUUAUGGAAGGUUUGAGAAUAAUUUAUUUUUAGGUGGUUGUAGAAUUUAAUUGGUCUACAUUGAUUUUGAUAAUUAGGGGGAAUCAUCUUAAUUCUGCUCUGCAAGCAUUAUUGGGUGUUGUACAGGGAAGAUGUUUUUGCAGAAGAUCAUGGUGCUGCUGUAGGCCCUACUUGGUUGGGGACAGAAUCCCCAGAUCAUCCGCAAACUAGAUCUUCGAACGCAGUAAGAAGCAUAGAGUGAGUGCCAUGACCUGCUGCAGAAGAACAGUCAGAAAAUUGACCGUAAUCUCUCCUCUCUUCUGUCCAGCCCUCCUAUCCUCCACCAAAGCUUCCUCACUCUUCCCCUCCCCUCUCCUCUGUCCAGCCCUCCCCCUCCCCCAUCUCCCUCACUCCUCAUUUGUCCAUGUCUUUUAGCCAGAGGGUGAGUCUGGAGGGGGAGGGCUAGGCUGGAGGAGGGGGGCAUAUUGUAGGUGUGGAUUGAUGGACUUUGGCAUGGGUAAGCGGGUCUGGGACCGGACAGGAGAAUCAUAAAACAGUCUAAGGGAUGAGAGGCAGGAGGUGGCCAGACGCAACUUUUAAUGUUCCCCAUGACUCACACUGACUGUCCAUAAUGAGUUUUAUUCACUUCCAUCAUUUGAGUGUCAAUGACGAUCAUGGGCCGGGCAGAGAAAAUGAUUGAAGGAGGAGAGUGUGAGGGGGGGGGCACAUAGAUACACAUGUCCUAUGACCACAAGGCAACCUGCAGUUGACCGCUACAAACAAGGCGAUAAGGAUGGUCACAUUGCAUUAUGACCAGACCAUUGCAAAGUAACCAUAAGUAAGAGUGGAAAGCUGAUUGGAAGGAUGGAACACUGGUCAUUCCUGAGAAAGAAUAGAAAGCUGAUUGUUUGACAGAUUUGGGAUCACUUCAGUCCAAAUGUGUUGAUAAUGGCAUGUCAUUUAGGACUGAAGAAAUCUCACUGUGGGGUAGAUCAACAGCCUUCAUUCCUGAAAACCAUCACUGGUUUACCUUGCCCUUCUCAUUCUCUUUCUCUACUUCCUCUUACUCCUCCUGUUAUUCAAGCCCAUAUUCUGUUUCUUUCUCCACCUUCCUGUCUCUCCAUCCAGGCACAGCUCCCUCAUACAAAGGAGACGGUGAUAAUCCCCCAAAAAAGAGAUCAAUAUCUUCUCAUCCUUUUUAUGUCUCUUCACACUCUCUUUCUCUCUCCCUCGGUCCUCCUCUCCUCCCCACACCUAUAGGCAGGACCCCUUCACAGGCACUCCACAGACAGGCAGUUUAAAGAUAAUAAUCAAUAUUGAUCCAGAGAGAGAGAGAACGAAAGAGAGAAGGAAAGAAAGAGGGAAUAAGGAGGAAGAAGGGUGCGAGGGAGGGAGUGACCGGCCCUCACUCUGUCUGGUCUCUGACACGAUCAAUGAGCUUUAGCGGAUAGAGGAUGGAUGGAGCCUCUGACUGCUUUAGAGGAUAGAGGAUGGAUGGAGCCUCUGACUGCUUCCUAGUCAGUGACACUGCUAAAGAGAUUACACCCCAGGAGCGACACAGCCAUGGCCCACACACUCUCCACCUCUCUCUUUCUGUUUCUCCCUCUAUCUGUCUCUAUUUCUGCCUCUCUCUCGCUAUAUACACUACCGUUCAAAAGUUUGGGGUCACUUAGAAAUGUCCUUGUUUUUGAAAGAAAAUGACUUUUUUGUCUGUUUCUCAAACUAGUCACUAUAAUGUACUUGUCCUCUUGCUCAGUUGUGCACCGGGGCCACCCACUCCUCUUUCUAUUCUGGUUAGAGCCAGUUUGCGCUGUUCUGUGAAGGGAGUAGUACACAGCAUUGUACGAGAUCUUCAGUUUCUUGGCAAUUUCUCGCAUGGAAUAGCCUUCAUUUCUCAGAACAAGAAUAGACUGACGAGUUUCAGAAGAAAUGUCUUUGUUUCUGGCCAUUUUGAGCCUGUAAUCGAACUCACAAACGCUGAUGCUCCAGAUACUCAACUAGUCUAAAGAAGGCCAGUUUAUUUGCUUCAAUCAGAACAACUGUUUUCAGCUGUGCUAACAUAAUUGCAAAAGGGUUUUCUAAUGAUCAAUUAGCCUUUUAAAAUGAUCAACUUGGAUUAGCUAACACAACGUGCCAUUGGAACACAGGAGAGAUGGUUGCUGAUAAUGGGCCUCUAUACGCCGUUUCCAACUACAAUAGUCAUUUACAACAUUAACAAUGUCUACACUGUAUUUCUGAUCAAUUUGAUGUUAUUUUAAUGGACCAUUUUUUAAAUUUUCUUUCAAAACAAGGACAUUUCUAAGUGACCCCCAAACUUUUGAACGGAAAGUAUUCAGACCCCUUGACAUUUUCCACAUUUUGUUAGGUUACAGCCUUAUUCUAAAAUUCAAUCUACACACAAUAACCCAUAGCGACAAAGUAAAAACAGGUUUUUAGAUAUUUUUGCUAAUUUAUUCCAUUUAAAAACAGAAAUAUCAUAUUUACAUAAUUAUUCAGACCCUUUACCCAGCACUUUGUUGAAGCACCUUUGGCAGUGAUUACAGCCUUGAGUCUUCUUGGGUAUGAUGCUACAAGCUUGGCACACAUGUAUUUGGGGAGUUUCUCCCAUUCCUCUCUGCAGUGUUGCUGCACAGCUAUUUUCAGGUCUAUCCAAAGAUGUUCAAUCUGGUUCAAGUCCGGGCUCUGACUGGGCCACUCAAGGACAUUCAGAGACUUGCCCCAAAGCCACGCUUGCGUUGUCUUGGCUGUGUGCUUCAGGUCAUUGUCCUGUUGGAAGGUGAACCUUCACCCCAGUCUGAGGUCAUGAGCGCUGUGGAGCAGGUUUUCAUCAAGGAUCUCUCUGUACUUUUCUCCGUUCAUCUUUGCCUCAAUCCUGUCUAGUCUCCCAGUCCAUGCCACUGAAAAACAUCCCCACAGCAUGAUGCUGCCACCACCAUGCUUCACCGAAGGGAUGGUGCCAGGUUUCCUCUAGACGUGACACUUAGCAUUCAAGCCAAAGAGUUCAAUCUUGGUUUCAUCAGACCAGAGAAUCUUGUUUCUCAUGGUCUAAAAGUCUUUAGGUGACUUUUGGCAAACUCCAAGCUGCCUGUCAUGUGCCUUUUACUGAGGGGUGGCUUCUGUCUGGCCACUCUACCAUAAACGCCUGAUCGGUGGAGUGCUGAAGAGAUGGUUGUCCUUCUGGAAGAUUCAUCCAUCUCCACAAAUGAACUCUAGAGCUCUGUCAGAGAGCCAUCGUGUUCUUGGCCACCUCGGCCCUUCUCUCCCGAUUGCUCAGUUUUGCCGGGCGGCCAGCUCUAGGAAGAGUCUUGGUGGUUCCAAACUUCUUCCAUUUAAGAAUGAUGGAGGCCACUGUGUUCUGGGGACCUUCAAUGCCGCAGACAUUUUUGGUACCCUUCCCCAGAUCUGUACUUCGACACAAUCUUGUCUCUGAGCUCUACGGACAAUUCCUUCGACCUCAUGGCUUGGUUUUUGCUCUGACAUGCACUGUCAACUGUGGGACCUUAUAUAGACAGGUGUGCCUUUCCAAAUCAUGUGCAAUCAAUGGAAUUUACCACAGGUGGACUCCAAUCAAGUUGUAGAAACAUCUCAAGGAUGAUCAGUAGAAACAGGAUGCACCUGAGCUCAAUUUCGAGUCUCAUAGCAAAUGGUCUGAAUACUUAUGUACAUUUCUUUUCUUAUACAUUUGAAAACAUUUCUAAAAACCUGUUUUCGCCUUGUCAUUAUGUGGUAUAGUGUAUCGAUUAAUGAGGCAAAUUUAAAAAAAAAAAAAUGUUUUUAGAACAAGGCUGUAACAUAACAAAAUGUGGAAAAAGUGAAGAGGUCUGAAUACUUUCCGAAUGCACCGUACAUGAGGCUGUUUUAUGUGUGCAUGUAAUGUGUGUGUGCCUGCGUGCCUGCGUGUGUGUACAGGGUGUGUUGAGGUGACUGUACAUGAAACAUUGGUCUCAUUUUUCACACACUCCAGAGUAUUGAUCUGAAGGCAACAUGCAGUGAUCUACAGGGCAGUUACAUUAGGACAUGACACAUACACACCUUACUGUCUCUUUACAAGGCCGUUACAUUAGAGGGAAAUUACACACACACACACACACACACACACACACACACACACACACACACACACACACACACACACACACACACACACACACACACACACACACAC